rnacentral:rRNA from 1 species
GGAGGAUCCAAGUGUUAUCCGGAAUCAUUGGGUUUAAAGGGUCCGUAGGCGGUUUAAUAAGUCAGUGGUGAAAGCCCAUCGCUCAACGGUGGAACGGCCAUUGAUACUGUUAGACUUGAAUUAUUAGGAAGUAACUAGAAUAUGUAGUGUAGCGGUGAAAUGCUUAGAGAUUACAUGGAAUACCAAUUGCGAAGGCAGGUUACUACUAAUUGAUUGACGCUGAUGGACGAAAGCGUGGGUAGCGAACAGGAUUAGAUACCCUGGUAGUCCACGCCGUAAACGAUGGAUACUAGCUGUUGGGAGCAAUUUCAGUGGCUAAGCGAAAGUGAUAAGUAUCCCACCUGGGGAGUACGUUCGCAAGAAUG